CAAGUUUCACCGCUGUCCCGCCGCGAGUUCAGGCUUCCUCUUCCGACAAAGGAGACCUACUGUACUUUUUUCUUUUUUCUUCUCCUGCGUGAGAAGGGCAAGUUCCACGUUUUGAUCGAACAAAGUCAGGUCUUAAGAUUUCUCCACUGCUACCUGUUGAGCUUGGAAGUCAUCCUGCUUUCUAACUCUUUAACUGGCAGAGAAAACUGAACCCAACCAAGAGCCCUUAGUUCAGUCAGGUAUUACCUAGUACAUAAACAGGGCUGGCUUGAAUUCAGCCCUUCUUAUCACCGCUUCCUUCUUCCAUGGAGAUCUGCCUGCCUCUGCCAUACAAGAUUACCUGUCUGGGCAUCGUUCCCAAUAGGCUGCCCUCCCACAUCAAUCAUUAAACAAAGUCCCUUAGGCUUGCUCACAGGCCACUCUGGUAGAGUCAUUUUCUCAACUGAGGGUACCCUUUCCCACUUGCCUUUAGCUAGUGUCAAGUUGACAAAAAAACCCCAGCCAGGAUAGGAUAUUUCCAAAGAGGUUUAACUGAGGAGGGAAAGCUCGCCUUGAAUGUGGGUGACACUUCCCAUAGGAUUUGAUUGCACUCUGAAUAUAAAAAGAAGGAAGAAAGCUAGUUGAAUCCUAGAAUUCUUUCCUUUUCUUCAUAGUUUAUCCUGAUAAGAGCAUCAGUCACAUACUCCCACAACUACAGGUCCCUAUUGCCAUACCUUCCUACAAUGAUUGUGUCUUCAAACCGUGAUCCUUCAAAAUAAACUCUUCUUCCCUU
rnacentral:lncRNA from 1 species